AGUCUGUCACCCCUACAAACAGUGGGUCUGCAAUAUGCAGGCACCAGCUGUGUGCACCCCGCAUCACGGACGCGGACCCAUUCACUUGAAUGGGUCCGCAAUCGGGACGGUCGGUGCGGAACAGAGGCACAGAACCACUACUGGCCGUAUCAAAUUUUGGGUCUGCACAAGAAUUCCAGUUUUUUCUCACUCCAAUCAAUAGAAAAGGCUAUUCUCAUUCACAAAUACG